UGGGGAAUCUUGCGCAAUGGGCGAAAGCCUGACGCAGCAACGCCGCGUGCGGGAAGAAGGCCUUCGGGUUGUAAACCGCUUUCAGUUGGGACGAAGCUUCUGCCGUUAAUAGCGGUUGGGAGUGACGGUACCCGCAGAAUAAGCCCCGGCUAACUUCGAG
rnacentral:rRNA from 1 species